GACGAACGCUGGCGGCGUGCUUAACACAUGCAAGUCGAACGAGGCCCCUCCUUCGGGAGGGUGUCCUAGUGGCGAACGGGUGAGUAACACGUGGGCAACCUGCCCCCGGCUCUGGGAUAACUCCAAGAAAUUGGGGCUAAUACCGGAUAUGACCGCUGACCGCAUGGUCGGUGGUGGAAAGUUUUUCGGCUGGGGAUGGGCCCGCGGCCUAUCAGCUUGUUGGUGGGGUAGUGGCCUACCAAGGCGACGACGGGUAGCCGGCCUGAGAGGGUGACCGGCCACACUGGGACUGAGACACGGCCCAGACUCCUACGGGAGGCAGCAGUGGGGAAUAUUGCGCAAUGGGCGGAAGCCUGACGCAGCGACGCCGCGUGGGGGAUGACGGCCUUCGGGUUGUAAACCUCUUUCAGCAGGGACGAAGCGAAAGUGACGGUACCUGCAGAAGAAGCACCGGCCAACUACGUGCCAGCCGCCGCGGUAACAC
rnacentral:rRNA from 1 species